GAAAAGUUAUGACCAACCUAGACAGCAUAUUAUAAAGCAGAGACAUUACUUUGCCAAUAAAGGUCUAUCUAGUCAAGGCUAUGGUUUUUCCAGUAGUCAUGUAUGGAUGUCAGAGUUGGACUAUAAAGAAAGCUGAGCGUGAAGAAUUGAUGCUUUUGAACUGUGGUGUUGGAGAAGACUCUUAAGAGUCCCUUGGACAGCAAGGAGAUAGAGCCAGUCCAUCCUAAAGGAAAUCAGUCCUGAAUAUUCAUUGGAAGGACUGAUGCUGAAGCUGAAACUCCAAUACUUUGGCCACCUGAUGCGAAGAACUGAGUCAUCUGAAAAGACCCUGAUGCUGGGAACGAUUGAAGGAGGGAGGAGAAGGGGAUGACAGAGGAUGAGAUGGUUAGAUGGCAUCAAGUCACGUACAUUGAUGACUCAAUGUACAUGAGUUUGAGUAAACUCUGGGAGUUGGUGAUGGACAGGGAAGCCUGGCGUGCUGCAGUCUAUGGGAUCACAAAUAGUCAAACAUGACUGAGCGAGUGAACUGAACUGAACUGGACUAGACAUUUAGUAAAUGCUUGUCUCUUUGGCUGCUACCUACUUACAGACCCAUAAAAAUGAACUUCCUUACUUUAAGUCUCCAAAGUGGUAUUGUUCGUACCCAUUUCAGCAACUCCUCCUCUAAAGUUUGCUGCUGCUGCUGCUAAGUCACUACAGUCGUGUCCGACUCUGUGCGACCCCAUAGACGGCAGCCCACCAGGCUCUGCUGCUCCUGGGAUUCUCCAGGCAAGAAUACUGGAGUGGGUUGCAAUUUCCUUCUCCAGUGCAUGAAAGUGAAAAGUGAAAGUGAAGUCACUCAAUUGUGUCUGACUCUUAGCGACCCCAUGGACUGCAGCCUACCAGGCUCCUCCAUCCAUGGGAUUUUCCAGGCAAGAGUACUGGAGGGGGUUGCCAUUGCCUUCUCUGCCUCUAAAGUUUAGGCCAAUGUAAAACUUAAAACUUAUUGGCUCCUUUUCUAUACCUUACCAUCAAUGUCAUUUUCAGUUGAAUCACUAAGUUACCAGUCUUACCUUCCUACUUAUUUUCCUUAUUUAAAAAAAAGAAAAACUAACAAAGAUAGCCUAAAAUGUGAGCCAGAUUUUUAAAUGUUACCAAAUAUUGAACUAAUUUUACAGUAUCAAGUGUUUUUCUGAUUUCCCAAAGACUGCUCCUGGUCUUGUGAGGCUGAAAGCAAAGUAAAUGAACUAAUGUGAACGUGGGUACUUAGAGCCAGAGUAAUCAUCGUUCUCACUAAUCCUGAGAAUCACCUAAGUGUCUAAGGAGAGAUCAAGGGUACAAGCAGCUUCUCCUAAGAUAAAGGAGAAUCUGAAUGUUACCAACCUCUGGCUCAUAGCAACAAUGAAUAGAUAUCAAUUCCUUGUUUUUUUUAAGCUUUCAAAACUAU
ensembl:lncRNA